UCCGGUUUGUCACCGGCAGUAUCCCCAUCACCCCGAAGGGCAUGCUGGCAACACAGAACAAGGGUUGCGCUCGUUGCGGGACUUAACCCAACAUCUCACGACACGAGCUGACGACAGCCAUGCACCACCUGUAUACCGACCACAAGGGGGGCACCAUCUCUGAUGCUUUCCGGUAUAUGUCAAGCCUUGGUAAGGUUCUUCGCGUUGCGUCGAAUUAAGCCACAUGCUCCGCUGCUUGUGCGGGCCCCCGUCAGUUCCUUUGAGUUUUAGCCUUGCGGCCGUACUCCCCAGGCGGGGAACUUAAUGCGUUAGCUGCGGCACCGACGACGUGGAAUGUCGCCAACACCUAGUUCCCAACGUUUACGGCGUGGACUAC
rnacentral:misc_RNA from 1 species